rnacentral:rRNA from 1 species
GAUGAACGCUGGCGGCGUGCUUAACACAUGCAAGUCGAACGAAGCAUUUAAGACAGAUUACUUCGGUUUGAAGUCUUUUAUGACUGAGUGGCGGACGGGUGAGUAACGCGUGGGUAACCUGCCUCAUACAGGGGGAUAGCAGCUGGAAACGGCUGGUAAUACCGCAUAAGCGCACAGUACCACAUGGUACAGUGUGAAAAACUCCGGUGGUAUGAGAUGGACCCGCGUCUGAUUAGCUUGUUGGCGGGGUAACGGCCCACCAAGGCGACGAUCAGUAGCCGACCUGAGAGGGUGACCGGCCACAUUGGGACUGAGACACGGCCCAGACUCCUACGGGAGGCAGCAGUGGGGAAUAUUGCACAAUGGAGGAAACUCUGAUGCAGCGACGCCGCGUGAGUGAAGAAGUAGUUCGUUAUGUAAAGCUCUAUCAGCAGGGAAGAUAGUGACGGUACCUGACUAAGAAGCUCCGGCUAAAUACGUG